AAAAAAGGAAAACGAAACGGCAAAACCCUUUCGUCUACCAAAAGUGCAUACCGGCGAAGAAAAAGGAGGAGACAACACCGGAACCGCCGGUUGCGAUUCCGAAGUUGAGCGGCGACGGAAAUCCCCAAGUUUUCAUCAUGAAGCUUUUGAAGACUAAUGAGGCUGAAUUUCGAUGUGGGUUUUUGGUGACGUAGCUGAAUAUGUGGUCGAAGAUUUAUUAUGGAAUGUGAGACAUCUUGGAUCGGCUUCUUCACGAUUAAUCUGUGUAGACUUCUAAAUUCGUUGUUUGCUGAAUGGUUGAUAGCUUCAUAGACUUGGUUGCCUUUGUGGGUUUGUAUGGCUCUUUUGACUAGUGCUCUAGGAAUCUUGAUGAAUGGGUUCCAAUUUUAUGCUAGUUUUUUAGGUAUUUGUUCAA